rnacentral:rRNA from 1 species
AUUGAACGCUGGCGGCAUGCCUUACACAUGCAAGUCGAACGGCAGCGGACCUUCGGGUGCCGGCGAGUGGCGAACGGGUGAGUAAUGCAUCGGAACGUGCCAUUGAGUGGGGAUAACGUAGCGAAAGUUACGCUAAUACCGCAUAUUCUGUGAGCAGGAAAGCAGGGGACCGCAAGGCCUUGCGCUCUUUGAGCGGCCGAUGUCAGAUUAGCUAGUUGGUGAGGUAAAGGCUUACCAAGGCGACGAUCUGUAGCGGGUCUGAGAGGAUGAUCCGCCACACUGGAACUGAGACACGGUCCAGACUCCUACGGGAGGCAGCAGUGGGGAAUUUUGGACAAUGGGCGCAAGCCUGAUCCAGCCAUGCCGCGUGAGUGAAGAAGGCCUUCGGGUUGUAAACCGCUUUUCUGAGGGACGAGCGAGGACGGUACCUUAGGAAUAAGUCUCGGCUAACUACGUG